CUCGAUUAUAACUAGUGUCAUUUGGAUCUUGCGCAUAGACUUUCCAUCCAAAAAAUUUAUUUUUCUGCAGGUUUUGUUAUAAAGGUAAUAUAUUGAUAUCAAGAUUUUACUUUCUGCAUAUAAUCCCAGAAGAAGUUGUGCGGCGUUUGAAAGGUGAGAUCCCAGGAGAGAUCAAGCUAGAAACCCGAAAUGGUUACAGUCAUACUAUUGUGGUUGCCAAGAACCAAGAAAAGUGUUAGAGUACGUAAUGGGCCUAAUAGACCCCGUUAGUCUUAGGGUUAAUUAGAAAUAAGGAUCGCUUGCUUAGGGGUCAAGUAAGCCUUGCUUGGGAGUCAAGUAAACCUCUCUAUAUAAAGAGAGGAGAUGUAUCAAUCUAAUGAAGCAAGAAUUAAGAAGGAAAUUCCUUCCCUCUUGCCCGGCCGUGGGCAAAAAGGCCCCCGGCCGCCCUCUCGCGCCCUCCUUCUAGCAGCCCCAUAACAAGUUGGUAUCAGCUAGUUUCGGUUCGAUCAUGUCGUCACCGCCGCAAGCCCGUCUCUUCCGCUACCGGUCACCUCAUUGCCUCCGGCGACCACCACGACCGUCACCCUGCUCCUGCCCGCGCCGGGAUCCUCCGUCGCGCCCGCCCCCGCCGUCCUCACCCCGGAGGAGGUGUUUGGCGUGCUGCGGGACCUAACCCAGGCGGUCCAGGAGAUCCACCUGUUCUUGGCCGGGUCCUACGGGCCGCUCCCGGCUGCGCCGCCCAUCGCCGGCACCGUGCCGCCGUUGCUGCCAUGGCAGCUGCCGCACCAGGCAGCCUUCGCUGCGCUCGCCGGGCCGCUGUAGCUGCCAUCCAUCGCCACCACCGCCCAACCCUGGCUGCAGUGGCAGCCGCCGCUCCUGGCGGCCUCCGCCGCGGCCAACGCUUCGCUGCCGCUGCCCGGCGCGACACCGCAGCAGCCACUGCAGCUGCAGCAGCCGCUGCAGCUGCAGCAGCCACCGCCGGCCAGCUCCGCCGCCCAGUAUGGGAUGCCCUACGACGGGACUGCGACGACCUUGUUCCCAUCAGCGCCGCCGCCAUCCUAGGGCGUCCACAUCCAGCAGAUCAAGUCCCCGCCGCCGCCGUCACCGUUUCCGUCUUGGAUCGCUACCCGCCAUGUGUCGGCUGCGGUGAGGCUGCAGGCUGCUGUGCGUGGCCUCCUAGUGCGUCGGCGUGUGCGGGAGAUGCGUGGUCUGCAGCUGCCGCUCUUCCAAGUUGCCCUUCACUGCGCAAAGGACCUUGAUCUCGUCCGCUGCGUCGGGGAUCUUGGGCAUGCUGUUUCCCCCACGGGCGGCGGGCAUGCUGUUUUCCUCGUGGGCAGCGACCUCAAAGUCUGCGACAUCGACGGUUGGGGGGCGCACCCCUCCUCGACAUUCUCCAUCGCAAGCUCUCCACUCUUCCCUGUGUGCAGUGCAGACCAACAACCAUACACAUGCACUCCUUUUGUCCAGGUGGUGUCCAUGGGAUCCAGGUGGCUGUACACGUGCACGUCCAAAAUAAAGCGUCACAGUCUAUUUCAGGUUGAGAGUAAUAACACAAGCCGAGAUGUAAAAGGCUUAUUUUUAGGUGUUAGGUUUGUGUUGCAUCGAGUCAUGGUUAUAAGUUGGUUAGGCUGCAGCUCGAGGACAAGCUGCAUGUCCAGGUGGGGUGUAGUGUUAGAGUACGUAAUGGGCCUAAUGGACCCCGUUAGUCUUAGGGUUAAUUAGAGAUAAGGGUCGCUUUGCUUAGGGGUCAAGUAAGCCUUGCUUGGGAGUCAAGUAAACCUCUCUAUAUAAAGAGAGGAGAUGUAUCAAUCUAAUGAAGCAAGAAUUAA
rnacentral:lncRNA from 1 species